UUGCUCGCUUCAGCAGCACAUAUACUAAAAUUGGAAUGAAAAGAGAAGGUUAGCAUGGCCCCUGCACAAGGAAGACCUGCAAAUUUUUGAAGUGGUCCAUAUUUGG
rnacentral:snRNA from 1 species